UACGUAGGGUGCAAGCGUUAAUCGGAAUUACUGGGCGUAAAGCGUGCGCAGGCGGUUUUGUAAGUCUGUCGUGAAAUCCCCGGGCUCAACCUGGGAAUUGCGAUGGAGACUGCAAGGCUAGAAUCUGGCAGAGGGGGGUAGAAUUCCACGUGUGAGCAGUAGAAAUGCGUAGAGAUGGUGGAGGAACAUCGAUGGCGAAGGCAGCCCCUUGGGUCAAGAUUGACGC
rnacentral:rRNA from 1 species